GGAAAACCACUUCACCAGUUUGGACAAGAGAGGCUGUUUGUAGCCAGAAGUAGACAGAUACAGGACCUGUGGCCACGGAUGACUACAUGUGCCCCCAAGGAGAUGUGCAAGAGAACUUGAGGGGUUCGAUGAUUCUAAAUUUGAAUCUGGCUGCCCAAGAAAGGGCCACACUACAGCAAGGCCGGAACCCAGACGAGCCACUCGGCCUACUUGUGCUGUUUGGUGUUCCGCAGCUGCUCCUGCACGCGCUUGUAGGAAUGAGCAGAGAUCUGACCAGCAUCUGCAAGCGGGGCCCGCACUCCUUGGCGAAAUCCUGGCAGGUAAGGUGGUUUAUCGCCUGUUCCGCCCUUUACAGUGAAGGGCAGGUGGAGGGAGUCCACCGUGAUGUCAGCAAGGAGCCAGGGGCUACGCACAAUGGCAGGUCUGCAGCCGCGCACUGUGAUCAGGGUCACUGUUAGAUGUGAGCCACAGCUGAGUCUGCGCUCUGCUGAUUCUUCACCCUGCUUUCACCCCAUCACAGUUCUCCAAU
rnacentral:lncRNA from 1 species